rnacentral:rRNA from 1 species
CAAGUCGAGCGCGUCUUCGGACGAGCGGCGAACGGCUGAGUAAUACGUUGGUAACUGCCCCGCACUCAGGGAUAAGCACUGGAAACGGUGUCUAAUACCGGAUGGUCCCGCAAGGGUAAAGCUAUUGCGGUGCGGGAGGUGCCUUCGUCCUAUCAGUUAGUUGGUGAGGUAACGGCUCACCAAGACUAUGACGGGUAGCUGGUCUGAGAGGAUGACCAGCCAGAAUGGGACUGAGACACGGCCCAUACUCC